rnacentral:misc_RNA from 1 species
AAGUCGUAACAAGGUCUCCGUAGGUGAACCUGCGGAGGGAUCAUUACAGAGUUCAUGCCCUUCGGGGUAGAUCUCCCACCCUAUGUUUACAUACCUUUGUUGCUUUGGCAGGCCCGUUCAGUCCUGUACUGAACCACCGGCUCCGGCUGGUCAGCGUCUGCCAGAGGACUUCAAACUCUGAUUGUUAGUGAUGUCUGAGUACUAUAUAAUAGUUAAAA